rnacentral:lncRNA from 1 species
UGGAACAAAGAGCAUAUUAAAUUAGUCCCAAUGCAGCCAUGCAUCCAGGGGGCCCUUGAUUAAUGUUAAUUGGUGAUGACAGCAUCUCUGUCGUGUAAAUUAAGAAUGGCACAAACAAGACACAGUGGAACAUAGAACAAAAGUCAUCUGCAGGAAGGCAGCCCAUCUUACAGAGUAAGAAAGGCACAACUUUGGUUGUGCACACAGCUUUGUUACCACAAAAUGCUAAGGUGAGAUCAGCAAAAGCAAGUGUGUAGAAUGUAGCCUGCCUGCUAAACAAGCGCAAUGAUCACUGCAGAAGAGCUCUGCUGAGCAGGGAGUAAAUGACAGGAAAACCAAACAGCAGAUUGUAAAAAUAACUCAGUCACAUCCCAGGCUUGCUAGAGAAGUAUCAUAAAGACUUAAGGAAGAAGAUUUUACUUUGCUAUUGUUAAACAAAAGCCUACCCAAGUUUAAGAGGCAAAGAUAUAGGAAUGGGAAAAAAAAAAGUGACUACCUUAGUAAAUGAGUUUUGUAGCCUGUGUUUUACCAGCUCUUAUCUUCUCUGCUACUGCAGGAAACAGUACCCAGUACCCUACAAAGCUCCACCCAUGUUUUGGGGAGUCCCUAGGAGGUAUUUCACAUGUGCUCGCAGCAACCACAUAGCGUAUGCCGGGCAGCACUGCCCCUUGUUCCAAUAGCCAUGCAUCUGUAGGUGUCACUCUUGCUGCUGGCUAUCACAGCCACUUUAGCUUGGUACUGAGUCUUCACUGGGCACAGCAACUGGGUACAGCCACUCCUCAAACUGCCUGGCAUUGGUGGUAAUCUAUGGCAAAGCACCUCUCCUUUUUGCGUUACCCUCUUUGAAGUGAGUAACACUAUGUCUUAGAGAGCCUUCUUUUCAUUUGUGUUUUAGCCUUUCUCAUCGCCAAAGGGCUCAAAAUGAAGUCCGUGGAGUCUAAGCCAAAAAGUAAUUCCUCAAGUGACAGAUCUCAUGCUAUGCUUCUCUCUUCCACUAGCUAAGGCCCUCUUACUGGGACAGUGGUAUCACACCUGGCUCACUCUUCCCUUUGUUGAUUUCUCUAUUUCUCAUAGGAAUAGAUUUCUGUCUAUUGCUCGUGAGAGACUGAAUUUGCACAACCUAUAUGAAGGGCAUUUUGGCAAUUUGAUCCAGGAGUUCCUCUUCUAUAAAUUUAUCUUACAGAUAGACUCACACAUAUGUGAAAAAAAAUAUUCAUUUAAAGUUGUUUAAUGUACUGUUUCUAGUUACAAAAGGUUGAAAACUACCUAAAUGUCCAUUUAGAGAGAACUAGUCAAAUACAUUACGGUUCAUCCAAAUUCAAAGAGUAGCGCAGGUUGUUCUGCUCCUUUGGGCCUUCUGAUCCUGCAUGGAUAUGUUAGGUCCAGCUAGGAAAACAGACCCUACACAAGGCAUUUCAACAAAGAGAACUUAAUAUAAGCUAUUGGUUCAUUAGCUAUUGAAGAACUUAAAGCCAAAAGGAUAAAGAAGAGGAACUCCAGGAAGCAGCUCAUACUGUAAGGCUGAGAGAACAAAAGGAAAAUGUUGAGGUUACUAGAAUGCGGAGGUUUGUAGGAGAGGCCUCCUGGAGUUGGUCAGACCGCUGAGAAAGGGCCACUGCCCCACUGGUGGGGUGCCUCUGAGGGGACAAAAUGAGACUCUCUGGGAACGUCUGGAAAAGAGACAAGCUGGAGACUGCAAUGAACUGCCACUGUGGGGUAGAAGAUCACUGUUCAGGUGCUGCGGGGAGGAACAGCAAACAAAACAGAGCAUCCCAGUCUUUCCCUAGCUUCCUUUCUUGGCAAACAUAACAGGGAGCUGGCCAUGUGAUUUGCACAGUCUGAAGGGUGAGACUGGAACUGACAUGCAACAGCUUAUUAACUUGCACACUUCCAUACAACCCCUAACAAGCAAGAAGCACCUCUUUAUGAGCUAACAUAGAAGACUCUCAAAGAAAAGAAGCAAGGCUUAGAAGACUGUUUAUGGUAUACCAUCAGUUGAAAUAAAAGAAAGACGAGUGAAUAAAAGAAAAAAAAAACUGUCCUAUGAUGUCGCAUAAUGAUGUCAUUCACAGGCACUUUCUCCCUCACUCAUGAGUCCAACUCCAUUAGCGGCAGCUAUAAAGAAAAGAGCAUUUUAUUCAGUUUACUGCUGAAUCCAAGCCAGAUGUUCCUUGAGAAGUUUCAACUAACAUUGCUGAAGAUCGGUUCCCAAAAAGGUAUUAGCUGAUUUUUCCUCCUAUGAAUGAAUUUCUGAUUGCACAACUAAAAAAAAUGACAAUUAAAUCCAUGGAUUCUGUCUGAGAAGCAAAAUUGCUGAUACUUCACAUUAAUGUCAGUAAGAAUCGAAUAAAUAGGUUCUAUGAUUAAGACUUAGCAAUGAGCCAAGUGCAAUUUGCCCUCCAGACUUUUAGCCGUGAGAUGCCUUUGUUGACAAGGGAGUGUCUGGCUUUUGAAUCAGUGGGGCACCUUUUGGAGGGACUCCAGGUUCUCUUGACAACAGGACUUUUUUUUUUUCUCUCUUUUUGGUGAGCCGAAAGGACUCCUCACCAUACAAGGCCACGGCUGAGUAAAGUAAUUCUCAGUAAGGCAUAAACCACUGGCAAGCCUCACAUACCAUAAUAAUAAUGUUGUACUGCAGCUGCACAAGGUCCAGGGAAUACAUUUGGGGCACAAAAUUUCUUUCAUUUUAAUACCUUCACUGUAUGAUUCUGUUCUAAGAAUUCCCUUUCCUUUUCUUCAUUGAUUAUUUAUUGUCCUAAAUCACCAUCUCUUUGAAAAGUCCUCACAGGGACGCAGAUAUUUUCCAGAAUUGCUAAUUGCUGAUUUGAAAGCAUGAAUUCUCUCAUCUCAUCAAAUCGGAUUCUGUGUCUUAAGGUCAGAUCAGCCUUUCUAAGAAUCUUGUAAAUCUCUACCUUUA